UACGUAGGGUGCAAGCGUUGUCCGGAAUUAUUGGGCGUAAAGAGCUCGCAGGCGGUCUGUCGCGUCGGCUGUGAAAACCCGGGGCUCAACCCCGGGCCUGCAGUCGAUACGGGCAGACUAGAGUGUGGUAGGGGAGACUGGAAUUCCUGGUGUAGCGGUGAAAUGCGCAGAUAUCAGGAGGAACACCGGUGGCGAAGGCGGGUCUCUGGGCAGUAACUGACGCUGAGGAGCGAAAGCGUGGGGAGCGAACAGG
rnacentral:rRNA from 1 species